GGUUGACCUCGGAUCAGGUAGGGAUACCCGCUGAACUUAAGCAUAUCAAUAAGCGGAGGAAAAGAAACCAACCGGGAUUGCCUCAGUAACGGCGAGUGAAGCGGCAAGAGCUCAAAUUUGAAAGCUGGCUCCUUCGGGGUCCGCAUUGUAAUUUGCAGAGGAUGCUUCGGGUGCGGCCCCUGUCUAAGUACCCUGGAACGGGUCGUCAGAGAGGGUGAGAAUCCCGUCUGGGAUAGGGUGUCCGCGCCCGUGUGAAGCUCCUUCGACGAGUCGAGUUGUUUGGGAAUGCAGCUCUAAAUGGGUGGUAAAUUUCAUCUAAAGCUAAAUACUGGCCGGAGACCGAUAGCGCACAAGUAGAGUGAUCGAAAGAUGAAAAGCACUUUGAAAAGAGAGUUAAAAAGCACGUGAAAUUGUUGAAAGGGAAGCGCUUGCGACCAGACUCGCCCCCGGGGUUCAGCCGGCAUUCGUGCCGGUGUACUUCCCCGGGGGCGGGCCAGCGUCGGUUUGGGCGGCCGGUCAAAGGCCCCUGGAAUGUAGUACCCUCCGGGGUACCUUAUAGCCAGGGGUGCAAUGCGGCCAGCCUGGACCGAGGAACGCGCUUCGGCACGGACGCUGGCAUAAUGGUCGCAAACGACC
rnacentral:rRNA from 2 species